rnacentral:rRNA from 1 species
GAUGAACGCUGGCGGCGUGCCUAAUACAUGCAAGUCGAGCGAACGGACGAGAAGCUUGCUUUUCUGAUGUUAGCGGCGGACGGGUGAGUAACACGUGGAUAACCUACCUAUAAGACUGGGAUAACUUCGGGAAACCGGAGCUAAUACCGGAUAAUAUUUUGAACCGCAUGGUUCAAAAGUGAAAGACGGUCUUGCUGUCACUUAUAGAUGGAUCCGCGCUGCAUUAGCUAGUUGGUAAGGUAACGGCUUACCAAGGCAACGAUGCAUAGCCGACCUGAGAGGGUGAUCGGCCAAACUGGAACUGAGACACGGGCCAGACUCCUACGGGAGGCAGCAGUAGGGAAUCUUCCGCAAUGGGCGAAAGCCUGACGGAGCAACGCCGCGUGAGGUAUGAAGGUCUUCGGAUCGUAAAACUCUGUUAUUAGGGAAGAACAUAUGUGUAAGUAACUGUGCACAUCUUGACGGUACCUAAUCAGAAAGCCACGGCUAACUACGUG